rnacentral:lncRNA from 1 species
CAGUGUCCGUUGUCGUGACUUGCCAGAGAGUGGUGGAGCCACGCAGAAUCCGUCGCAGGAAGUGGAGCAGAAUCGUGGCCAUUACUGUGGCCUGCCGCAUGGAGCCUGUUGCGGGGAGUGGUGGAGCCAUGCGGAAUCCGUCGCAGGAGGUGGAGCAGAGUUGUGACCAUUACUGUGGCCUGUCAGGGAGUCCAGGCCUGUCGGCCGAAGCUCGGUUGAAGCAUCUGGCGGAGAGAGAUAGCUAUCCAUCUGAGAGG